GACGAACGCUGGCGGCGUGCUUAACACAUGCAAGUCGAACGGAAAGGCCCUGCUCUUGUUGGGUUCUCGAGUGGCGAACGGGGGAGUAACACGUGAGUAUCCUGCCCUUGACUUUGGGAUAACUUUAGGAAACUGGGGCUAAUACCGGAUAUGAUCUCUUGCUGCAUGGGGGGGGAUGGAAAGUUUCGGCGGUUGGGGAUGGACUCGCGGCUUAUCAGCUUGUUGGUGGGGUAGUGGCUUACCAAGGCUUUGACGGGUAGCCGGCCUGAGAGGGUGACCGGCCACAUGGGUCCUGAGAUAGGGCCCAGACGCCUACGGGAGGCAGUGGUGGGGAAUAUUGCAGAGUGGGCGGAAGCCUGAUGCAGCGGCGCCGCGUGCGGGAUGACGGCCUUCGGGUUGUAAACCGCUUUGGCCUGUAACGAAGCGUGAGUGACGGUAAUGGGUAAAGAAGCACCGGCUAACUACGUG
rnacentral:rRNA from 1 species